CGAGAACCCCACCCCCAGCUCGCAUGGGGGGCCCCACUUCCAAAGGCCCACUGCCCACCACGGUCUUCUCGCCAGCGCCGCUGCCAUCUUGAGAAAGAGUGGAGGGUAUUAGAAGUUUCAAAACAGCCCAGCGAGAGGCAGGACUGAGCCGAGGAGAGACUGAAAACUGGCGGAGUCCGGAAACAGAUACGCGAAGUUUCCUUAUCUUUGGGCUGCAGAUGUCCGGAUAGGAAACUCCGGCAGGAGAUCCGAAAGGGCAUUUUUUUUAAAUCACUCAAAUGAAAAUACACAGUAUAGGUGACUCCAUGGAAAAAUAAUAAAGGGCAGGUUUUUUUUG